UAGCGGCGGACGGGUGAGUAAUGCCUAGGAAUCUGCCUGGUAGUGGGGGAUAACGUUCCGAAAGGAACGCUAAUACCGCAUACGUCCUACGGGAGAAAGCAGGGGACCUUCGGGCCUUGCGCUAUUAGAUGAGCCUAGGUCGGAUUAGCUAGUUGGUGAGGUAAUGGCUCACCAAGGCGACGAUCCGUAACUGGUCUGAGAGGAUGAUCAGUCACACUGGAACUGAGACACGGUCCAGACUCCUACGGGAGGCAGCAGUGGGGAAUAUUGGACAAUGGGCGAAAGCCUGAUCCAGCCAUGCCGCGUGUGUGAAGAAGGUCUUCGGAUUGUAAAGCACUUUAAGUUGGGAGGAAGGGCUGCUGGUUAAUACCCUGCAGUUUUGACGUUACCAACAGAAUAAGCACCGGCUAACUUCGUGCCAGCAGCCGCGGUAAUACGAAGGGUGCAAGCGUUAAUCGGAAUUACUGGGCGUAAAGCGCGCGUAGGUGGUUCGUUAAGUUGGAUGUGAAAGCCCCGGGCUCAACCUGGGAACUGCAUCCAAAACUGGCGAGCUAGAGUACGGUAGAGGGUGGUGGAAUUUCCUGUGUAGCGGUGAAAUGCGUAGAUAUAGGAAGGAACACCAGUGGCGAAGGCGACCACCUGGACUGAUACUGACACUGAGGUGCGAAAGCGUGGGGGAGCAAACAGGAUUUAGAUACCCUGGUAGUCCACGCCGUAAACGAUGUCAACUAGCCGUUGGAAUCCUUGAGAUUUUAGUGGCGCAGCUAACG
rnacentral:rRNA from 1 species